CCUCAAACUUGGAGGCAUUUACUAAAAAGCACUAACGCCGAUGAUGAGGUAAAAUGAAGGACUAGGUGCAAAAAGCUGCCUAAAAAUAGGGAUGCAUCUAGGCAUAAAUCAAAAGGUUGCUGGUUUUUCUGUCAACUGAGGCAACAGUUCAACUUUCUCUGCAGCUAUGUACAUAAUAGAAAUGCGUAAUUUUCAUAAAAUUCCAUAUUUACCCUCUGGUCGGCAAGCAUGUUGACCCAGAGCCAGAUGUGCUUGCUUAUCCCCACUUAUUUCUAUCUACUAUUAAUAAGUGAAGGUUCCUCGGACGACGAAGGGUAAAACUAUAAUUUCGCGCUGGUCCAAUUAUUAAUUAAAAUCAAGCACAUAUUCAUUACAAUUCUACCAUGUUCUGCAAUCUUCUCCCUUUUGCUUUCCUUCAUCCGAUAAUUAAAAUCAAGCACAUAUUCAUUACAAUUCUACCAUGUUCUGCAAUCUUCUCCCUUUUGCCUUCCUUCAUCCGAUCAGUUUUGUACUGGUUUUGUUUGCCUUUCCGAUGAGUUCAAUUUUCUGUAGAUUCCUCCUUUAAUUUGGCGUGUUCUUUUUGCGAUUUCUAUCAAAGAACAAGUUUGGAUGGAAAAAGUUUUGAUCAAUUCCAAGAAAUAGUUUGAUAAGAGCUCAUUUCUUUAUCCCUUUUCAUUAUCGUGCUAUGUUCUCCCCAAAAAUUAGUUUAAUCAAGUUAGAUUUCUGGAAACUCGAAGAAACCAGCCGGCUACUUUCAAGCUUGGUUUUUGCUCUAUUCAAGAGAUGGACAUACAAUUAAAAGAUUGAAGCUCAGACAUGAAUAUUGACAAUUGACAGAAUCUUCUGCACCAGCAUAGAUUAGAUUCAGAUGUAAUGAGAGUAGGAUGUGAGGUGCUGAUUUUUGUGAAAUAAAGCAAAUGUUGGAUUUUGCAUUUACUACUUGAUGUUGGACAUGCAGCUGUUAAUACAGGAAGAAGAUGAUCUGAAAUGAAAAGUUCAUAUUUGGAGAACCAGUUCAGAUCGAUGGAUAGGGGAUGAUGGAUCAACACCCCUUCCUUGCGGUGUACGCUUGGAGGAUACAUUGGAAUGCAAUGAGGAAAAGAACAACAGCUAUAAAGAUUUAACGCAAGGAAAUAGACAAGAAUGUUCUAUAAGGAUUAUAAUGAAAAUAUAGAGCUUUUGUUGACUGCGUUUUCUACGACCAAGGGCAGAACCGUCAUUUCGCUCGCUGGUAAAAGUGAUUUUGCUCAGCACACAUGGCUUUUCUCACCACAAUUCUGGAAGAAAAAAAAAAAACAACAGUCGAUUAAUGUGAAACAAGAUUGUUUGGAAGCUCAAAAUGUUGGGAAAGUUCCAUUCUUGGAAGAAAAAAAAAUCCAGUUUGCGUUCAAUCCUUUUUUUAAUUUUACUUGAUAAGUAUUUCUUAUUGUAAUUCUAUGUGGCUCCACCUAAUGUUAAAUAAAUAUGUUUGACAACUCAGAUAUUGGGGAAUCAGUUCUUGAAGAGUGAAAGUACCCCUUUUAUUUUUUUUAAAUUAAAUUAUGAAAGUUUAUGUGGAUUGAUUAAGAGUUUUCUUGCAGUUGGGGUAGUGGAAAGAUUCAGUUUAAGAGUAUAAUGUUUAUCUAGCUUUUGCUUUUAAUUAUCACGUGCAAGAGGUUGAUAUGCUUAACCGUCUAUGAUUUUACUAUGUCUUCAGUUCUGUGUUAAUACAUAUAGUAGAAUCAAGUAGUUACUUUUCAUGUAGUACUAGAACUUGUCAACCUUUACCUUUCGUUGGCUUUCAUUGUUUUCUUUUUGUUUCUCUCUUUUGCUCUUAUCUGUUACUCUUCAGACUUUCAAAGGUUAAUCUAUCAGUCUUUGUAUCGAAGAGUUUCAAAGCGAUAUUUUCCUCCUAUCUUUAUGUCUUUUUUUCAAUCUAUCUAUGGGAACUUAGAUUACUGAUAUCAUAAAAAGUCCUUCAUUGCUUGCCUGACAUGAUUCUAGAGGCAUCCUUUCCUUCAUAAUGUUCCGUCGCAUCUUUCCCCUUUCUCAGGUUGCUUUCUCUCCCUGGUUUUCCUAUUAGAAAGAAAGUGUAAAGGAACUUUCUCGCAAGCAAAACUCAAUUCCUGGCAGUCGGCAUUGACAAACCCCUAUACCAGCGGCUUCAUGGCUUUUCUCUGCUAUUUGAGGACCUUUCUAAAGGUUAAAAACCAAUCUCACUCUCAAAUUCCUAUGAUAAAAGUGGUAAUCUUUUCUUAAAUUUCAGUUUUUUUUUCUUGCUUUAUAGUUUGUAAUUUUUUUUAGCAAUAUAUGAUGGGAAUCGUUCUGGUUAUCUGCCUUUUGAAGAGUCACACCCAUGGCAUUAGAUAAGAAGGUGUCCUCAUUUAUUGCUGGUCAUUCCAAAAUGCCAUCUGUAUUAUAUAGGAGUAUUUCCCUUGACAGAGAAUGUUGAGAUAAGUGAAUAUUAUUGGCAAAAAGUCUAAGAAUGAGGAAUUGAUUUGAUUGCAGAUACAUUAAGCUGAACUUACAUGUCCACUGUGGUUUUCCUCUAAUGCAAAGAAACUGAUCAAAAGAAUCUCGAAUUCCAAUCCACAGACUGUAGGUAUAUCUCCCUCUCCAAGACAAAGGAGGAAUAAAGCAGAAAAGCUACCUGAUGUAAUUUUGUUUACAGACAAUAGAUGUGUUGAGUGGUUCUUUAUCUGCACUUGCCUUUACCUUCUCAUUCAUUACCAAAAUUUACUGGGAAAUUCAUGGAAUUUAUCAUUUGAUGACAUCGCAUAUCUGCAUUAGACAGCUGUAGUUUUCUCCUCUCUGUCGUGAAGCUGUACUUAAUAUACGACCAUUUGACAUAAUCUUAUUGGUGUGUAUAACAUUUCUGCUAACGUUGAUUAAUUGACUAUCACUUAUUGAAAAAGAUUUGAGUAUGAUCAAAGCUACAUGAUAAUCACAAAGUGAUUAGAAACAUGCACAAUUCUAUGUGCAAUUUCCUUUCAACAGAUUAUAUACGCUUAAGGUGUUUAUGGAAGAAGAUUUUGACGAUGCAGCAUGGAGGUAAGAGAUGGAAACUGUUAAAAGAACUAUUGAAUUAUAGUAACAGACUACUGCAAGGGGAUUGGUUAUUUAGCAUUAUCGGGUAAUCUUACUCUGUAGAUGGCUGAAAAAAUGUAUAAUGCACAUUUGUUUUGUCUUAAAAUCAAAAAAUGAGUGUCGGUAUGCACAGAUGUAAUUUACUGAUAUAACUUCACCUUAUCCUGUUAUGCGGAAAAUGGAUGGCUGAAGGUGCGACUUAUUUGUAUUUUCAUUGGAAUUGACAUUGUGAAGUUUGUUGAUGUCGUAUUAAUGUUUUAUGGAAUUCGCUUCGGUCUUUGAACGUGAAAGCCUAACUUAGGGGAAUUUCCAUUCAAUUUGAAAAGGAGAAGGAAAGUAAGGCCUGCCAUGUUGCACUUGAGCAUGGGAAGAUGGAAGUGAUUGUUUCAAGGUCUGUCAUUCUAAAAGUAACACAUCUUGUGGAAUACAAUCACAUUCUAUUCAUUAUUUUCUCCAAUAGAGUUUGAAUUCUGACUGAGAUUGUAGCAAUGACUCUUUCCUGAGUGAAGUAUUGUUAGCUACUAAAUGCAGUAUUGAUUCUUGAUAAUGUAGCAUAGGAUAAACUAUGAAUACUUUAAGGAUAGCAACUGUAUGUGCUUUACAAGGAGAUUUUCUAUAUUGCCUUCUCAAUUUCUAUACGAUAA